CACGUAGGGCGCAAGCGUUGUCCGGAAUUAUUGGGCGUAAAGAGCUCGUAGGCGGUCUGUUGCGUCCGCUGUGAAAACUCGGGGCUUAACCCCGAGCCUGCAGUGGAUACGGGCAGACUAGAGGUAGGUAGGGGAGAAUGGAAUUCCCGGUGUAGCGGUGAAAUGCGUAGAUAUCGGAAGGAACACCUGUGGCGAAAGCGGCUCACUGGACCAUUACUGACGCUGAGGCACGAAAGCUAGGGGAGCAAACAGG
rnacentral:rRNA from 1 species